CUACAUUCAGAGCUUUAUCUAUACACAGACAGGGGCUGCACAUGCAGGUGGAGAAGCCCUUUGAACACCCCCGUGACUCUGCGGUGUCAUCUAGUUAAUCUGUAAACCUAGAGGGAGUCCUCCCUUCUGUUGUACGACUGUGAUGCUUAGUAUCAGCACUGUAUUCAGGAGCAGCCCAAGAUAGGACUAGAGUGGGUAGCGGACCUCUGAUGACCAGCAAGGGAGAUGGCAGAGCUUCCUUCAAAAGCCACCGCUGCUUCGAUGGUCAUCACACAGAGAUCUGGCAGGAUCCCAUAUUCUACAUGACUCUUAAAAGAAAACACAUGUGGCUUGUGAUAUCAUUGCAUAGCACAGUGUUUUUAUAAUUUUACUUACAUUAUGUUAUGUACUUUAAUCCUUUGAACUUUAAGAAACAGAAAAUUAAGUAUCUCUCCGAUUGUGCGUAAAGGAAAAUAUAUCUUGCCUCAUAUUUUGAUAAUACUUUUAUGUAACUGAUCUCAUUUAAAUCAUAUAACAACCCACUGUGGCCAAUUACAGGUCUUACCCCAACUUUACCGCUCUGAACACUGAGCCUCGGGACAUGGCUUUGAUGUGAUUUACAAGGUGGACCUGAUGUUCAUUUUCCAUUGCCACAGCGACAGGAAGGAAAGCUGAAACCAGGAGUGCCGGCGGGAGAGCUGCAGGGCAGGACGCAAUGCCAUCAAGUGACUGGAGUCUCGUUAUUAGGAAAUGUGGAAAGGUUACUGAAACUGGUAAGCAGGCCACAGGAACUGAAUACUCCCAGGGAUGAGGGAGGCAUUGGUGAACACUGAACCCUUUUUCAUAGUUUGAUUUCUUUUGAUGACAGCAUCCAGUGAAGGCUUUAUAGUUUUUAAAAACCUCAAAAUGAAGGUUAGUCUGGCAAGGGAUGGCCAACCCCUCACAAAGCUAUUAACCCAUCUAAUUGGAAUUUGAUCAUGACAAUUAAAGGCACAUGUCAGUCUUUUCUUUUUAUGACCUUCAAAUAAGAUCUACGUCUGAAAGCCCUGUCUAUGACGACAAUUGAUUUCAGUUCAUUUCAGUCGCUCAGUCGUGUCCGACUCUUUGUGACCCCAUGAAUCGCAGCAUGCCAGGCCUCACUGUCCAUCACCAGUUCCCAGAGUUCACUCAGACUCAUGUCCAUUGAGUCGGUGAUGCCAUCCAGCCAUCUCAUCCUCUGUCGCCCCCUUCUCCUUCUGCCCCCAACCCCUCCCAGCAUAAGGGUCUUUUCCAAUGAGUCAACUCUUCCCAUGAGGUGGCCAAAGUACUGGAGUUCCAGCUUUAGCAUCAUUCCUUCCAAAGAAAUCCCAGGACUAAUUUCCUUCAGAAUGGACUGGUUGGAUCUCCUUGCAGUCCAUGGACUCUCAAGAGUCUUCUCCAACACCACAGUUUAAAAGCAUCACUUCUUCGGUGCUCAGCUUUCUUCACAGUCCAACUCUCACAUCCAUACAUGACCACUGGAGAAACCAUAGCCUUGACUAGACGGACCUUUGUUGGCAAAGUAAUGUCUCUGCUUUUGAAUAUGUUAUCUAGGUUGGUCAUAACUUUCCUUCCCAGGAGUAAGCGUCUUUUAAUUUCAUGGCUGCAGUCACCAUCUGCAGUGAUUUUGGAGCCCAAAAAAAAAAUAAGUCUGACACUGUUUCCACUGUUUCCCCAUCUAUUUCCCAUGAAGUGAUGGGGCCAGAUGCCAUGAUCUUCGUUUUCUGAAUGUUGAGCUUUAAGCCAAUUUUUUCACUCUCCUCUUUCACUUUCAUCAAGAGGCUUUUUAGUUCCUCUUCACUUUCUGCCAAGGCAAUGCCAAAGAAUGCUCAAACUACCACACAAUUGCACUCAUCUCACACACUAGUAAAGUAAUGCUCAAAAUUCUCCAAGCCAGGCUUUAGCAAUACGUGAACCGUGAACUUCCAGAUGUUCAAGCUGGUUUUAGAAAAGGCAGAGGAACCAAAGAUCAAAUUGCCAACAUCUGCUGGAUCAUCGAAAAAGCAAGAGAGUUCCAGAAAAACAUCUAUUUCUGCUUUAUUGACUAUUCCAAAGCCUUUGACUGUGUGGAUCACAAUAAAUUGUGGAAAAUUCUGAAAGAGAUAGGAAUACCAGACCACCUGACCUGACUCUUGAGAAACCUAUAUGCAGGUCAGGAAGCAACAGUUAGAACUGGACAUGGACUGGUUCCAAAUAGGAAAAGGAGUACGUCAAGACUGUAUAUUGUCAACCUGCUUAUUGAACUUAUAUGCAGAGUACAUCAUGAGAAACGCUGGGCUGGAAGAAGCACAAGCUGGAAUCAAGGUUGCCGGGAGAAAUAUCAAUAACCUCAGAUAUACAGACAAUUGGUUUAGAAAACAGAAAAUUGUGUGAGGGGCAUUAAAAAGAAGGUCUGGCCUUCAGUAAACCUUUUACCCUUCUUUGGAAUAAGUGUGUUACUUCGUGUUAUCUUUGCUUUUACUUUUAAAAUGAUUAUUCUCAACUUGAGGCAUAAUCUACAAGAUCUAUGCUCUUCAAAAUAUCAAUGUCAUGAAAGACAAAUAAAAGCUGAUGAAGUGUUUCAGGUCAAAAAUGGGUAGAGUGACAAAUAAAUGCAAAAAACAACCCCGGGUUUUUUUUUUUCGCUAUAAAAGACACUAAUGGAAAAAGUGGUGAGAUAUGAAUAAGGCCUGGAUAUUAGAUAACAGUCUCACAUCAAUAUUAAUUUGCUAAUUAUGAUAAUUGUGUGUGAUUCUGUAAGAUAAUAUCCUAAUUUGGGACUAUGUAGAUAUUCAUUUCAAUUAAUACUUAUCCUUGAAGUAUUUAGGGUUAAAGGUAGCAUUGUGUAUGCAACUCACCCUCCGAUAGUUCAGGAAAAGAUUACACAUACAAAGAGAGAGAAGAAUAAAGCAGUGUGAUCCAUAUCUGAGGAUCUGGUGUGAAGCUGUUUGGAAAUCAUUGUAUUAUUCUUUCCUGUAAGUUGAAAAUUAUGUCAAGUACAAAACUGAAGUAAUGAAAGAUAGCUUUUAAAUCUUAAAACAUGUUUAACAUGGUCUUAUUAACAUUAUAUAAAUAUUGCAAGGCACCACCAUAAACACUUAGGAUAGUGCUUUUCCCAAAGCUUUUUAUUUUGUAUUGGGGUAAAUCUAAUUAACAAUGUUGUCAUAGUUUCAGGUAAACAGUGAAGGGACUUAGCAUACACAGUCAUGUCUGCAUUCUCCCUCAAACACCCCUCCCAUACAGGCUGCCAUAUAGCAUUGAGCCGAGUUCCAUGUGCUAUACAGUAGGUCCUUGGCGGUUAACCAUUUUAAAUAUAACAGUGUGUACAUGUCCAUCCCAAACCCCCUCACUAUCCCUUCCCUCCAUCUUCCCCACCACCAUCCCCGCCUCAGCAACCAGAAGUUCAUUCUCUGUCAGUCUGUUUCUGUUUUGUAAAUCAUUCAUUUAAUUACUGAUAAUAUGUGUUUUCCUUUUCAUGACAUACACUAAAAUCCUAAUGAUGAAACCUGAUUUUGCAUUUAUAGUAAGAAAUGAGCUAACUAGUCUUACUAUUAUAUAUAUAUAUAUAUAUAUAUAUAUAUAUCACCAGGAGCAGCAAAUCCUGCCCGUCAUCCAACAGCAAGAAUUGUCCCCUAAGAGAGCUGAUUUACACAGCAGGACAUCAAAUAGAUGAUAAAGGCACAGAAUAUUGGUGAGCAGUUUAAAGGAAUACUAUCAUUUUUACCACUGUACAUUUGAAUAUCACUUUUCUUUUUUUUUAUAAGUAUUUUUGCCCAUAUUAUCUCAUUGUAUACCCUGCCUUAUAUUUAAAACUUGCCGUUUUUCAAGUGGCCAUUUUCACAGCUAGAUGGGAUUUUUAAAAAAUCUAUGUAUAUUUGAAGCUGGUUAAAAACAUCUAUAAUCUGAGAAAGACCUCUUAUUGACUGGAGCUAGAAAAGGAAGAAGGGGAUUUUAUUAUUCUCAAAACUCCUGGAAAUUUGAUGUUGCUUAUUGUCAGUCUAUAUCACAAUGCUGAAAUCCAGCACUUGCUCUGGGCAGUCUGUCUAUGAUAAAUAAUUUUUAGUCAUGAAAAGAAUGGGCUUCCCUGGUGGCUCAGACAGUAAAGAAUCUGCUUGCAAAGUGGGAGACCUGGGUUCGCUCCCUGGGGUGGGAAGAUCCCCUGGAGGAGGGCAUGGCGACCCUCUCCGGUAUUCUUGCCUGGAAAAUCCCCAUGGACAGAGGAGCCUGGUGGGCUAUAGUCCAUUGGGUUGCAAAGAGUUGGGCACGACUGAGCGACUUAAACUUUCACCUUCACCCUCACCAAGUUCUGUGUCACACCCAUCCAUACAAUAUAUCAUGUUAGCUCCUUUUUUUUUUUCACAGAAGGGCAUGUCCAGACACGGUAUGAAGGGCUGGGAAGAGGGGUGUCAUU
ensembl:lncRNA